rnacentral:rRNA from 1 species
AACGAACGCUGGCGGCAUGCCUAACACAUGCAAGUCGAACGAGACCUUCGUGUCUGGUUGCUCAUGGGUGCGUAACGCGUCGGAAUCUGCCCUUGGGCUCGGAAUACCAGUUAGACAUUACUGCUAAUACCGGAUGAUGUCUUCUGACCAAAGAUUCAUCGCCCAGGGAUGAGCCCGCGUAGGUUUAGCUAGUCGGUGGGGUAAUAGCCUAUCACGGCGACGCUCCUUAGCUGGGCUGAGAGGAUGGGCAGCCACACUGGGUGGCUGCCACGGUCCGGACUCCUGCGGGAGGCGGGAGUGGGGGAUAUUGGCAAACGGGCGCAAGCCUGAUCCAGCUAGGCCGGGUGAGUGAUGAAGUCCUUAGGGAUGUAAAGCUCUUUUACCCGGGAUGAUAAUGACGGUACCGAGAGAAUAAGCACCGGCUAACUCCGUG